GACGAACGCUGGCGGCGUGCUUAACACAUGCAAGUCGAACGGAAAGGCCCUGCUUUUGUGGGGUGCUCGAGUGGCGAACGGGUGAGUAACACGUGAGUAACCUGCCCUUGACUUUGGGAUAACAUCAGGAAACUGGGGCUAAUACCGGAUAGGAGCUCCUGAUGCACGGUGGGGGUUGGAAAGAUUCGGCGGUUGGGGAUGGACUAGAGGCUUAUCAGCUUGUUGGUGGGGUAGUGGCGUACCACGGCUUUGACGGGUAGCCGGCCUGAGAGGGUGACCGGCCACAUGGGUACUGAGGUACGGCCCAGACUCCUACGGGAGGCAGCAGUGGGGAAUAUUGCACAAUGGGCGGAAGCCUGAUGCAGCAACGCCGCGUGCGGGAUGACGGCCUUCGGGUUGUAAACCGCUUUCGCCUGUGACGAAGCGGGAGUGACGGUAAUGGGUAAAGAAGCACCGGCUAACUACGUG
rnacentral:rRNA from 1 species